CGGGUACUGGGGUUGGCCGGGCUCUUUUGUUCGAGGGAGGCGGACGGAGAGCGGCCAGGCCCGCGGCGCCACCCGACCCGCCCCGCCCGCCUGCCCCCGCAGGCCCCUUCCCCUCGGCAACCGUUGGCGGGGCUGUGCAAGCAGCGUCGCCCGUAAGCUGAAAAACUGGCCAGCACAAUGGGAAAAAAACAGAACAAGAAGAAAGUGGAAGAGGUCUUAGAGGAAGAGGAGGAGGAGUAUGUGGUGGAGAAGGUCCUGGAUCGGCGAGUGGUAAAGGGCAAAGUGGAGUACCUGCUGAAGUGGAAAGGCUUCUCGGAUGAAGAUAACACAUGGGAGCCAGAGGAGAACCUCGACUGCCCAGACCUCAUUGCAGAGUUCCUUCAGUCCCAGAAAACUGCACAUGAGAGUGAGAAAUCUGAGGGAAGCAAGCGCAAGGCGGAGUCUGACACGGAGGAUAAAGGGGAAGAGAGCAAACCAAAGAAGAAGAAGGAGGAGUCGGAGAAACCACGAGGCUUUGCCCGAGGAUUUGAGCCAGAGCGAAUCAUUGGUGCCACAGAUUCCAGCGGGGAGCUCAUGUUCCUGAUGAAGUGGAAGAACUCUGACGAGGCCGACCUGGUCCCCGCCAAGGAAGCCAACAUCAAGUGCCCGCAGGUGGUCAUCUCGUUCUAUGAGGAGAGGUUGACAUGGCAUUCCUACCCCUCAGAGGACGAUGACAAGAAAGAGGACAAGAACUAACCCCUGGCACCCGCUCGGGCCAGCCUUUGUAUAAAGAUCUGAACUGUGGGUUUGAGCAAGAGGGGAGAGAACGCAGCUCUGCUCGGUUGGGAGCGUAGAGAUGGCUGGAGAAGAUGCCCUUUGAAGAGACCAGUAUGGUUUCUGUGCCCUGCAGCUGCUCAACUGCUUUAUGCAGCUUCAUGCUGUGUACAGAUUCAAACCAGCCCGGCUCAGUUUGGGGAGGGGGUGGGGGGGUGGAGGGAAGGGCAGGGGGAUACCGGCGAGGGGUGGGAGGAGGGAAUGGGGAUAUUUGUUUCAAGGCUGUCGAUUUUGCAGCUUGUGGGAGAGGAAGCAAAGCCCCUUCCAUGAAGGACUAUCACUGGUGAUGGGUGGGCUGGGGAAAGGGAGUGCAGAUGGAUACUGCUUAUUCUUCAAAGACCAUCUCAGCAACCCACAGCCUUCUUCCCAAUAGUGUUAACUCUGCAUUUUUAUGGCGUAGCAUGUGUGUAGGUUUUUUGUUGUUGUUUUUUUGUUGGUUUUUUUUUUUUUUCCUUUUUCUUUUUCUUUUGCUAUUUACUGGUGUAUUGGUUUGGGGAUCUGGGGGGAGGGAUGUGGGGAAAUUGGUCUCUUGUUUAAUUGGGGAGGGAGGGAGAUGAGGUCUGGUGACAAUGUUCCAGAUCAUUUCCAGAUCUUUUUUAGAACCUGAAUUCAGAAAAGGGAAAAAAAAGUUAAAAAAAAAGAAAAAAAAAAAGAAGAAAAAAAAAAAAAGAAAAAAAAAAAAAAAAAGGCGGGUGGGGAAAGAGCCCAGUAUUGAUGACAGAACUAGAGAGACAGGGACACUGACAUGAGACUGAAACUGUGAAUGUCCAAAUCUCUGGAGCCAAGAUCCUCAAAACCCUGCGAGCAGUUUUUACCGGGCAGGGGGGGGUAAGGGGGGGUGAGGGGAGACUUGUGAAAAUGCAAACUUGUGAUUCGUAUUGUCCUGAAGCAGAACUGCCAGUUACUGACACAUGCAUUGUAUGUGGGAGGGUGGGGUGUGGGGCGGGCAUGGAGUUUAACCCUUUAAAAGCCUUUCUACCCUUCUUUCCGUUACAAGGUGCUAUUUCUCAAAAUUGGGGGCAGGGGGGGAGAGAGACUUCUGACUACUCGUUCCUUUUCUCACCUUAAUUUGACUGUCCAGCCAGUGGCAUUGGGAACCCUUUAGUUGUGGGAGGGGGAGGAAAUCAACAGCAGCACAAGAAAACAUAAAAUCAAUUCCAGAUUCUCCCAUAACAAGUGAUUAUUUGUAGGAGCCCAGACGUUGGUGCUGGAGCCGGAUGUGUCACCCUGAAUCUUCUGAGGUUUUGGUUGUUUGGUGGUUGUUUUUUUUUUUAAUCAGAUUUAUUACAAAUACUGAACUAUUUAAUGUCUGGAGUCAUGAGCCCCACCAGACUCCUGGCACCUCCUUGUAGGGUGCUCUUUGUGCAUGGGAUGAGUGACGAGGUGUAGAGCAGGUCCCGGAGGGAAGUUAGCCUGCGCUCGCGGCCCUCUCUGAGCACGGGUAGCUCUGGUGCAGCCCAGGUUGGCCGGUGGCUCCGCUCUGGGUGUCGACAGCGGCAGGAGCUUUGGAGCAGCUGACGGCAGGUUCUGAUUUAUGUUGGCUUCCAUCUGGAGAAGAGAAGUGUCGUAGAGGUUAGUGUCUAGAGGCCUAAGUUGAGUCUCGCCCGUGGAGACAAGAGGACUAGCUGUGAUUUGGGACCUCGUUGGGUGUAGCAAGAUGCUGCUUGAGCCGGGAGCGUGCGCUGCAUGUGUUCCCAGCCAGGACCGAGCACCAGCGGUGGGGGCCGGUACCUGCGAGCUGGGAUGACGGCGACUCCGUCCCCAGACCACUGCCGGAGGCCAACCAGAGCUGCUCCAAGCUCACCACUGCAGCACAGAGCCAGGAGCUACUGUGGGCGAGAAGGACCCACAAGAGGAGGCCG